rnacentral:rRNA from 1 species
GAUGAACGCUGGCGGCGUGCCUAAUACAUGCAAGUCGAGCGAACGGACGAGAAGCUUGCUUCUCUGAUGUUAGCGGCGGACGGGUGAGUAACACGUGGAUAACCUACCUAUAAGACUGGGAUAACUUCGGGAAACCGUAGCUAAUACCGGAUAAUAUUUUGAACCGCAUGGUUCAAUAGUGAAAGACGGUCUUGCUGUCACUUAUAGAUGGAUCCGCGCUGCAUUAGCUAGUUGGUAAGGUAACGGCUUACCAAGGCAACGAUGCGUAGCCGACCUGAGAGGGUGAUCGGCCACACCGGAACUGAGACACGGUCCAGACUCCUACGGGAGGCAGCAGUAGGGAAUCUUCCGCAAUGGGCGAAAGCCUGACGGAGCAACGCCGCGUGAGUGAUGAAGGUCUUCGGAUCGUAAAACUCUGUUAUUAGGGAAGAACAUAUGUGUAAGUAACUGUGCACGUCUUGACGGUACCUAAUCAGAAAGCCACGGCUAACUACGUG